GUGGGAGCUGGCUUGCCUGCGAUGGCGGUGGGUCAGUCGACAUCAAUGUUGAAUGAUAAGCCGCUAUCGCAGGCAAGCCAGCUCCCAC
rnacentral:misc_RNA from 1 species